UGCCUAGUAGCACAAUGGUAGUGCAGUCGGCUGUUAACCGACCGGUUAUAGGUUCGAAUCCUAUCUAGGCAGCCA
rnacentral:tRNA from 3 species